rnacentral:lncRNA from 1 species
CAGCUUUGUGUCAUCGGUUAAUGUGAUAAGCAUGUCAUCUUUAUCCAAGUCAUUGUUAGGGAUGCACAGCGCAGGGCCCAGCACAAAUCCUUUAGGGAUUUCUCUGUAGAUCUCUGCCGAAUUGACAUUAAACCAUUAACAACUACACCUUAGAGCCCUGCCACUCAAUCAGCCCGAGCCGGGCAGUUCUCUAACCUGUAUUUUCCUUUCUUCCGAGAGUACCAUGAGAUACUUGAUCAAAGAAGCUUUAGCUUAUUGUUUUUCCCCAGCAUCUUGGCAAAGUUUGUUCAUAGCGCCAGCUCGAUAAUCAUGCCAAAACCAGGAAAACAGGCGAGUCGGGCACAGUUGUUUGCCCUUUGUAAACACCUUUUCUUUGAUGAUGGCUUAAAUGGCAGCAGAUGAACAGUCUGGAGUCACAGGCUUUACAUUUACUACUCGUGUGAUGUCGCCUCUCAGGGCCUUAGUUUCCUAACCAGCAAAAAGAGAAGGCUGGCGCUGGAUGAGCCCUGAAUUCUGCUUUCGCACUGAAUUACGAAUCACAGCACGGACCCUAUCAGGACAAGAAAUCCUUUUCCAAGGCGGUUCUUUUAAGUGUUUUCAAAUUUAAAACACUUGAGCGCAAUGCUGGCGGAAUUUCUAGAUUCCCCCGCUAAGGACCCCUAAGGCUCAGCACCCCCACACUUGAACCUUGGUGGGAGUCAUCCUCCGGUAGGGGUGACGUCAUGGAAGGUGACGUCACGGAGGGCCGCGAAUGCGAAGGAGACGGGAAGCUGAACGCUACACUCCCCCCCCCCUCCACUCCCCGACACUUCCGGCGGACCCUCAAGAAGUACGAAGGCUUACGUGCUCAACCGCACGCCUCCUCUCGGUCGCCGUCUGCCGUCACCACCUCUAGCCACGCGCGUAGAGUUCAUGAGUCAGUUUCUGUGUGUUCACAGUAAAGCCAUUGCUGGAAAGAAAUCACACACCUGGAAGGGAUCAUUGGUCCCACUCAAGAGUCAGAGCGCAAAAAGAGAAAUUGCUGACACAAGAAAUUCUGCUUUUACAUGGUACCUUGUGAAGAAAACACUUUAUAAAUUCUUGGGUGAUUUCCAAACCACCUGCAGUUCUGAAUUAGAAGAGACCUCAGUGAUUUCUGCUCUGAUCUACUCUUAAACCAGAACCAGAACCCGCUCCUACUCCACAACAUGCUAGGUAAGAGGUUAUUCAAUCUGUGCAGGAAAACAUCCAAUAAGAGGGAAUUGACCACUGUCA